ensembl:lncRNA
GUCUGUUCUCCCUUUCUUCUUUCCUCUUUGUCCUUUUCUGAUACAAGUUGUUGCUGCUGGCAGCUCUGAUUUGAGUCGUGUCUGCCAAGAAGUAGACAGUGUGUUGAAAUCUUUUGAGGACAGCUAUGACAGUUUCUUUUUCCAUGUACAAAAUUAGCACAUCAGCAGUAACUGUGAAGUUUUAUGGAAUUUUUUGCGAGUUUUUUUUUUUACCAGCUAUGAAGUGUUUAUAAUAAGUGAAUAUAUUUUAAAAAAGGGUCAAUAUUAUGGGGAAGAAGUUGGCCUAGGGCAGAAGAAAAUGGAGAGCAGAAUCAGAAAGGCACCUUUGCCAGAGAUGGAGCCUGAAGCAGACAUUAACCUUGACUCAAGCAUUAUCAAUGUGUGGUCUUUCUUACAGUUUGCGACCAUUGUCAAGUCAUAUGUUUCAGCAGAAUGAAUGCGGUGCUACUCAAACAGCUGUUAAAGGUCUAGUCUAUUGCUCCAAGAGAUUAAAUACUACAGUAAAUAGCCUAGAGGGUUACAGAAAGAAAAGUAGUAUACUACUUUUCUUUCUGUCAAUCAGUGGAUCACAGACUCCCACUCGAAGGGCUGGGGAAUGUGGACCUCCCACAUCUAAUGAAUAGGUUACCAGGUCUGUGUGAUAAAACCAGCCUAAUAUUUUUGGGGGGAGGGGUUUUAUUUGUUUUGUUUUUUUUAAUUUAUACUCAUUCUUGUCCAUUCGUUUCUUUUUCUUAUCCAAUUCAGGGUCUCAGGUAGCAGCAAUAGCGAGAGGCAGGGUAAACCCCAGACAGGUUGCCAGCGUGUUACAGGGCUAACACAGAGAGACAGAAAACCAUUCACACCCACACCUAUGGGCAAUUAAGAAUAAUCAGUUAACCUAACCCCACUAACUUCAUGUCUUUGGGAGGAAGUGUGAGUGCUACAGAAUGGCCUCUGAUGGAUUCAAACCCAAGACUGUCUUGCAACAGUUCGAGUCGCUGUGCCAUCGUGCUGCCCGUCAUGUCAUCUUCAUUCAAAGCCAGGCAGGAGCCUUCAGGUUGAGCACAGACUGCCAAAAGCUGGAGUUUCCUUAAUGGCCACUGGAUUCAAAAUUGAUUAAGGCCCCAUGAGCUUCCAUGUUAAUUUUCCCAACUGCAUUAAAAAGGAUGUGUACAAGCUUUUACAUCCUUUUUCUGUUCUAUAAUGAAUUACUCCCUUCAUAAAAACUAAAAAGUACGUUUUUUAAAAAAAAUAAAUAAAUAAAUAAUUGUUUGCAGAGUUUAUGAAUGCAACAGGCUAACCAAGCUUGGUAGCUAGAUGAUAAAUUAGGACUCCACCCUCUUCUCCAAGUAUAGUAACAUAGUCUGACAUAAAAUCGAUGGGAUUAUAAUAGGUUAAAACAGUAGGUCAUAAAUAUUUCCAACUAUCAUUUACCUAAUAGAUUUAUUAAUAAUAGAAUAAUAAUACAUUUUAGCUUCCAUCCUGUAACUAUGCUACAGCUGGAUAGGUUAGCUUAUAAACAGGAAGAAACAGUUAGCCAGGCUGUGUUCCAAACUAACAAUGCCAGUAUAUUUGGAUAGAGCUAGACUAAGUGGUAUAUUAAGCUAAACUUUGGAUAUUUUGUCUUCACAACAGAACAAAGGUAUUUCCAAAAUAAAGUCAAAGUUAAUUUACUGAUAUUAGUUGGCCGAGGUGGAACUGACAGCUCUGACUGCGCUCUAGUUUCAGAGUCAAACACAUGCACAACAAUUUACAUUCCCAC